UCUUUUCUCUCGUCGUCUCCGUCGAGGUGAUUAGCCUGGCGAAUCUUCUCGUUGCUGGCUUCUCGCCGGCGUCUCGCCGGUUAUUUCUUUGGCUGAAGCGUCGAUUUGGAGCUGGCAUCUCAGGUGGCUCAUCGUCUGGCAAGAGAAGCUAGGCCAACUGUUGUAUACUUGUCUGAUUUGAAGCGUGCUGUUGAGACUGCAGAAAUCAUAGAGAAAGCCUGUGAUGUAUCAAAUAUAGUGUUGACUGAAGCACCAAGAGAAAGGCACAUGGGAUAUCUGCAAGGUUUGACAUGGGAUGACACUAUGUGAAUAAAAGCCCAGGCGUUUUCAAAGGCUUUGCUAAUUUUGAAGUUAAAAAUGGUUUGGACUUUGAUGGCAGAAACCAAGAAUUGCCGAGUCGAAGUACUUUGUACAUUAACAUCCAAAUCAAAAAACCAAAAGAAGAUUCUAAAAGUUUGAGGUGUGGUCUGAAUUCUGAAUUUUAGAUGCAAUUUGAAGAUCAAGAAACAAAUGAACAUGUCACUGGAUUCAGAUUCAGAAGAAGAUUCAAAACAAGGUUCAUAAAGUGAUGAAGAUUUAUAUAUAAAAUGUAGACCCAUAACUCAGAAGAUAUUUUUUUGGAGUGAUGAAGCUUUGUGAAUUUUUUUUGAUGGAGAUUCAUAUGAAAAUCCGAAGCUAAACACUCAAAUAUUUCAAUCUGUGAACACUCUGAAGUCAAUCUACUUAAUAUAUCACCAAUUGAACAUUUCUGAUUUCUGAUUUGAGUUCAAUCUCAUUCGACAGAAAUGUAGAUCAAUAUUCAGAAGAUUUGAGUUAAGUUUUGUGAUUUAUUCUGAUGAAGAUUCAUAUCAAGAAGGUUCAAA